UCAGGCCUAACACAUGCAAGUCGAGCGGAAACGAGUUAUCUGAACCUUCGGGGAACGAUAACGGCGUCGAGCGGCGGACGGGUGAGUAAUGCCUAGGAAAUUGCCCUGAUGUGGGGGAUAACCAUUGGAAACGAUGGCUAAUACCGCAUAAUGCCUACGGGCCAAAGAGGGGGACCUUCGGGCCUCUCGCGUCAGGAUAUGCCUAGGUGGGAUUAGCUAGUUGGUGAGGUAAGGGCUCACCAAGGCGACGAUCCCUAGCUGGUCUGAGAGGAUGAUCAGCCACACUGGAACUGAGACACGGUCCAGACUCCUACGGGAGGCAGCAGUGGGGAAUAUUGCACAAUGGGCGCAAGCCUGAUGCAGCCAUGCCGCGUGUAUGAAGGAGGCCUUCGGGUUGUAAAGUACUUUCAGUCGUGAGGAAGGUAGUGUAGUUAAUAGCUGCAUUAUUUGACGUUAGCGACAGAAGAAGCACCGGCUAACUCCGUGCCAGCAGCCGCGGUAAUACGGAGGGUGCGAGCGUUAAUCGGAAUUACUGGGCGUAAAGCGCAUGCAGGUGGUUUGUUAAGUCAGAUGUGAAAGCCCGGGGCUCAACCUCGGAAUAGCAUUUGAAACUGGCAGACUAGAGUACUGUAGAGGGGGGUAGAAUUUCA
rnacentral:rRNA from 1 species